UACGUAGGUCCCGAGCGUUAUCCGGAUUUAUUGGGCGUAAAGCGAGCGCAGGCGGUUAGAUAAGUCUGAAGUUGAAGGCCGUGGCUUAACCAUAGUACGCUUUGGAAACUGUUUAACUUGAGUGCAGAAGGGGAGAGUGGAAUUCCAUGUGUAGCGGUGAAAUGCGUAGAUAUAUGGAGGAACACCGGUGGCGAAAGCGGCUCUCUGGUCUGUAACUGACGCUGAGGCUCGAAAGCGUGGGGAGCAAACAGGAUUAGAUACC
rnacentral:rRNA from 1 species